CCUACGGGAGGCAGCAGUGGGGAAUAUUGGACAAUGGGGGCAACCCUGAUCCAGCCAUGCCGCGUGUGUGAAGAAGGCCCUCGGGUUGUAAAGCACUUUCAGUGAGGAAGAACGCCUGGUGGUUAAUACCCAUCAGGAAAGACAUCACUCACAGAAGAAGCACCGGCUAACUCCGUGCCAGCAGCCGCGGUAAUACGGAGGGUGCGAGCGUUAAUCGGAAUUACUGGGCGUAAAGCGCGCGUAGGUGGCUUGAUAAGCCGGUUGUGAAAGCCCCGGGCUCAACCUGGGAACGGCAUCCGGAACUGUCAAGCUAGAGUGCAGGAGAGGAAGGUGGAAUUCCCGGUGUAGCGGUGAAAUGCGUAGAGAUCGGGAGGAAUACCAGUGGCGAAGGCGGCCUUCUGGACUGACACUGACACUGAGGUGCGAAAGCGUGGGUAGCAAACAGGAUUAGAUACCCGUGUAGUC
rnacentral:rRNA from 1 species